CCUACGGGAGGCAGCAGUGGGGAAUAUUGCACAAUGGGCGAAAGCCUGAUGCAGCAACGCCGCGUGAGCGAUGAAGGCCUUCGGGUCGUAAAGCUCUUUCCUCAAGGAAGAUAAUGACGGUACUUGAGGAGGAAGCCCCGGCUAACUACGUGCCAGCAGCCGCGGGAAUACGUAGGGGGCUAGCGUUAUCCGGAUUUACUGGGCGUAAAGGGGGCGUAGGGGGGUUCUUAAGUCAGAGGUGAAAGGCUAAGGCUCAACCGUAGUAAGCCUUUGAAAAUGGGGAACUUGAGUGCAGGAGAGGAGAGUGGAAUGCCUAGUGUAGCGGUGAAAUGCGUAGAUAUUGAGAAGAACACCGGUUGCGAAGGCGGCUCUCUGGACUGUAACUGACGCUGAGGCACGAAAGCGUGGGGAGCGAACAGGAUUAGAUACCCCGGUAGUC
rnacentral:rRNA from 1 species